GGCCCUACGGGGUGCAGCAGGCGAGAAACCUUUGCAAUGUGCGCAAGCACGACAAGGUUAAUCCGAGUGUUUCCUGCUAAAGGAAUCUUUUGUUAGUUCUAAAACCACUGAUGAAUAAGGGGUGGGCAAGUUCUGGUGUCAGCCGCCGCGGUAAAACCAGCACCUCAAGUGGUCAGGAGGAUUAUUGGGCCUAAAGCAUCCGUAGCCUGUUCUAUAAGUUUCCGGUUAAAUCCACUAGCUCAACUAAUGGGCUGCCGAAAAUACUGUGGAACUAGGGAGUGGGAGAGGUAGACGGUACUCGGUAGGAAGGGGUAAAAUCCUUUGAUCUAUUGAUGACCACCUGUGGCGAAGGCGGUCUACCAGAACACGUUCGACGGUGAGGGAUGAAAGCUGGGGGAGCAAACCGGAUUAGAUACCCGGGUAGUCCCAGCUGUAAACGAUGCAGACUCGGUGAUGCGCUGGCUUGUGGCCAGUGCAGUGCCGCAGGGAAGCCGUUAAGUUUGCCGCCUGGGAAGUACGUACGCAAGUAUGAAACUUAAAGGAAUUGGCGGGGGAGCAC
rnacentral:rRNA from 1 species